GAUGAACGCUGGCGGCGUGCCUAAUACAUGCAAGUCGAGCGAACAGACGAGGAGCUUGCUCCUCUGACGUUAGCGGCGGACGGGUGAGUAACACGUGGAUAACCUACCUAUAAGACUGGGAUAACUUCGGGAAACCGGAGCUAAUACCGGAUAAUAUAUUGAACCGCAUGGUUCAAUAGUGAAAGACGGUUUUGCUGUCACUUAUAGAUGGAUCCGCGCCGCAUUAGCUAGUUGGUAAGGUAACGGCUUACCAAGGCAACGAUGCGUAGCCGACCUGAGAGGGGGAGCGGGCACACCGGAAGUGAGAGACGGACCAACCUCGUACGAGAGGCAGCGGUGGGGAUUCUGCGGCAAUGGGCGAAAGCCUGACGGAGAAACCGGGCGAGGGUGAUAAAGGUAUUCGGUCUGUAAAAAGCUGUUUUUAGGAAAGAAAAAAUUUUUAAGUAACUAAGCACGUCUUGACGGUACCUAAUGAAAAAGCCACGGCUAACUACGU
rnacentral:rRNA from 1 species